GACGAACGCUGGCGGCGUGCUUAACACAUGCAAGUCGAACGGAAAGGCCCUGCUUUUGUGGGGUGCUCGAGUGGCGAACGGGUGAGUAACACGUGAGUACCUGCCCUUUACUUUGGGAUAACUUCAGGAAACUGGGGCUAAUACCGGAUAGGAGCUCCUGCUGCAUGGUGGGGGUUGGAAAGUUUCGGCGGUUGGGGAUGGACUCGCGGCUUAUCAGCUUGUUGGUGGGGUAGUGGCUUACCAAGGCUUUGACGGGUAGCCGGCCUGAGAGGGUGACCGGCCACAAUGGGACUGAGAUACGGCCCAGACUCCUACGGGAGGCAGCAGUGGGGAAUAUUGCACAGUGGGCGGAAGCCUGAGGCAGCGACGCCGCGUGCGGGAUGACGGCCUUCGGGUUGUAAACCGCUUUCGCCUGUGACGAAGCGUGAGUGACGGUAAUGGGUAAAGAAGCACCGGCUAACUACGUG
rnacentral:rRNA from 1 species